CUUUUAUGGAGAGUUUGAUCCUGGCUCAGGACGAACGCUGGCGGCGUGCCUAAUACAUGCAAGUCGAGCGCGGGAAGCGA
rnacentral:rRNA from 2 species